AGCAGCAGCCGCGGGAAUACAGAGGGUGCGAGCGUUAAUCGGAUUUACUGGGCGUAAAGCGUGCGUAGGCGGCUUCUUAAGUCGGAUGUGAAAUCCCUGAGCUUAACUUAGGAAUUGCAUUCGAUACUGGGAAGCUAGAGUAUGGGAGAGGAUGGUAGAAUUCCAGGUGUAGCGGUGAAAUGCGUAGAGAUCUGGAGGAAUACCGAUGGCGAAGGCAGCCAUCUGGCCUAAUACUGACGCUGAGGUACGAAAGCAUGGGGAGCAAACAGGAUUAGAUACCCCAGUAGUCCCUGUCUCUUAUAA
rnacentral:rRNA from 1 species